UCGUGAGGUAUACCCUGCUUAGUGGCUCCCGAACCAGAAAAACAAACCGGCCCAGCCCGCACCCCCACCACUCUCUCCUCUCUCCCUCGUUCCUAAUCUCUCCAACCGCACACGCCACCCGCCGCCAGCCCCAACUCUCCGGCAACCCGCCUCCCCCCGCCACCCACCUCCAGCGACGCGCCGCGCCCAGCACCUCCCACCUCCGGCGACGCGCCGUGACCACCGCACCCUGCCUCCUCCCUCAUGCCGCGCGCUGCCCCUGAACCCUGCCUCCUCUCUCGCGCCGCCCCCACUGCCCCCCGAGCGUGGCCGCCCCUCCACGGAUCCAAGCUCGCACGCCGCCGCCCCUCCCACCACGCCGAGCUCGCACGCCACCGCCGCCGGCGCCCCCAACUGGCCGCCCCUCGUCAGUUUGUGUGUUCCAUCCGCACCAAAAAUCGCCGUCCCUAGCUUCCCGUGGAUCCCUGCGCGCCGCCGCCCACCAGAAGGAUGCUCUCGUGCUCCCCGACGCCGCUUUCCUUAAGCAUUCGUGCGCUCCAAAAGUCAACGCGACACAGCUGCUUCCUCCGGCAACACCUCCUACCGACGCCGGCGGUUCUGAGGUUACCUUGUUAGUAGUUCAACUUUGCUAAAUUCUGUAGUUAACCAUUGCUAAAAAUCAUCUUAGAAAUUAUCUCGUUUAAAUAGUUCACCUUUUCUAAAAACAGUAGUUCUCUGGUUAGAAAAACAAUAGUUAUCUCUGCAAGAAAGUAUGACAAUCUUUUGGUAAAGUCUCAAUCUCUUCUCAGUUUUAGUGUACGCUCGCUGGCGAUGCGUCCAGCAUGCUUGCGGUGAUAGCGCCAUAGUGGCCACCACUAAUGGCAUUGGCAGCCAGCAUGCUUGCACAAAAAUAGCUAGCUAGGUGUUCAGGAUCGUCUAUUUUAUCCCUCGAAACAGGAUGCUCAGGACGUCUAUUUUGUUUUCUGAAACACUAGCUAGGUGUUCCCAGUUCAGUACAUGGACUAUCAUCAGCUCUAGUUGCUGCUUCCUGCCACCAACGAAUUGCGCAAGUUCAAAGAGUGUCGCAUGACAAAUUCAAAAGGUGUUGUAUGGCAAGUUCAGAAUUUUGGUUUCGUGAAAAGUGUGAUUUUUGGACAAUAUUUUGUGCGAUUCAAUUGUUCAUCUUCAGAACUUGGAGAUGUUAAGUCUACUUUUUUCUAUGAUGAAGGUACACAUGAGCUCCAUCUGCAAUGGUUAUCCGCCCUAGUGCUUCAAAGAUGCUUAUUUUGUUUCCCCCGUGACGCAGCGAGGAUGAUAGUGACGACACUUACAAAAUUGUUUUCUGUGUUGCUAUGUUGUCAGUCCAAAGUGUGGUGAAGAUGUAGUCCUGGGUGUGUAGAUGAUGUGGUGUGUGUCUGGUUGUGUGUGUGUGCAUGAUGAUUGGUGGCUGUUGUGUGUGUGUGCAGGGUACCCGGCGACAGCGGGUAGGCGGCAAGUGUACUGGUGAGCAGCUACCCGGAAAAUGCUGGAACAGGGCUUCCAAAGUAAGCUCCUUGCUUCUUGCUUCUCUUUAAAUCUCUUGAGCUUUACAUGGUAUGUUCAAGACAAGUCCUCUAGUGGUUGUAUUGUAUGAUGUUCGUUUAAAUGAUCGGCUAUACUGACACCGCAUACGUGGAAACUCAAAAUGAAAAUAAAAGGUGUUAAUGGAGAAAUAUAAGAACAAAAACAGUUAUGUGUAGCCAUCUAGCAACAUGGUGAUCAAACAAAAUCCCGACAGCCACCCUCCAUGGUGAUCAAUUCCAUGUGCUGAUGGGUAUGCUUGCUUAGCACAAAAUUCAUAAACUGUCAAUUUAUUUUGAAUUGAACUGAUGCUGCUCUUGAUUCAGACAUGAGGGGAGAAGACGGAACUAGAAUGAUUCAGUUCAUCAUUGGCACCCCUGUAAACCAAACAGUGAAGAACACACCCACUGUACUUUUGCUCUUGUUCUUUCUAUCUCCUGAAUUCCACGCUUUCUGUGAUGAGCAUGCUUGGUACUAUAUAGAUACUGCUGUAGUAGUUCUAAUACAAUAUAUUACAAGAAUUCAUUGACAAAAAAGGUGUCAGUUCAUAUAUGCAUGCAGCAGCUGUUCUGAUACUACUUCAGUAACCAGAAAAACACAGAAGUUCAACUAUACUUAUGCAAAAUAGUUCAAUAUUUUAUUCUAUGACAGUCAAGAAAAACAGAAAAAAAGAGGUUCAUCGUGUGAUGAGCAAUAGUCCCAACAACUGUGCUAGAGAUGCAAAAAAUUGAUAGCAUAGCCGAUGCUAUUUUUCAUCCAAUUUCGGAAGAAAACUGAAGUUGAUCAGAGUAACUGAAGAAUGAUCUGUUAGUUCUUGAGUAUGUGUAAUGCUGCCAUUUUACUAUGCAUUUGAUUCCAUCGUGAUGGAUGUAUUACAAAGAUAUGGCUGUAUUAUUAUGUUGAAUAAAAAUACCAUUUUGCUGCAACAUUUUCUGUCAGCUCCUGUCAAGUUAUACAUGUAUGUGAGGAUCCUUCUAUGUAGUAAGUUCAUAGUCGAGAAGUCAGGGACUUCGUAAGGAACGUGAACACCAAAAAACCAUUAAAAAACCUAAACCAUAUGUUAGGGGAGUUCAAGAAGUUCAUGGCUAGCUGUCCGUGUUCUGUAUUCUUAUCAGUUCAUAAUCGAGACGACAUGUAUUCUUAUCAGUUUGUUUAUCUAGCCCGUCGUGCUGUGUAUUCUGGUCAGUUCGUGUGUGUAUGUGUUGCCCUCGCAGUGUAUGAGAGGCCGCCCGUGAGGAAGUCGCCGAUCUGGUUGAGGCAUGCUGCUAUUCUCUAUAUCCGGUAGCACAAACAUUUAAAAGUUGAAGUUAAAACAAGAUGGAGAUGUGUGUUUUGGAGAGAGAAGAACUUAUCUAGUGGAGUGCGUGUGUGUGCUGCUGCAUCCUCGUCCGGCAGCUCUAAUCCACACUCUCAGUACAACUUCUCUACGAUCUCAUGUUCACAAAUCUUGUAGUACAUUUUUUAAAUAAAAAUCUUCUAGUACUAUGUAAAGCAAGCGUGGCCAACACAUACUUUAGGUGUCGCGGUAGUACGCACUGUUGAUGGUGGCCUUCCUUUGUGGCGCUGCUACUUUGCCACCUAGAGUAGUACUGCUACUACUUAUCAUGUUGCUAAAACCUAGCGAAAGUACAUGUAUUUGAUUAAUGGUUCUGUAGGAAGAAAUUUUUUCACCAAUAUAUAAUCUCUAGGUUUAGUAAAGCAAUCCUUUUGUUUAGUAGCUGAUACUGCUCAAGUUUAUUUCUUGUUGUACAUAUGAUGUCCAAUUUCUUCUUUCAGUUCGGUUCAAUUUAUAAAUUUCAUUCAGUUCAAUUCUUAUUGUAGUUGGAGUUUAGUUUCUUUUUUGAGUUCAAUUCAGGCAUGUGUACUUGCAACCUCACUGCCUUAAGCUACGAUCUCAAAUAGAAGUGUACUAAAUGCAGGUACUAGGUGGUGGCAUUGCUUCACUUCUCUUGUUACGUUCUCUUCGCCCAAAUUCGGAGGAUCAAGAAAAUAAAAUAUCAUUCUUUUGACAUGCACUACUCAAAAGAAGGCAUUUCUGUUGAAAAAUUGUUUCGCUUGACAUGUACUUGCCAACAAUUAUGUAUAAUAAAUCAUGGCAUUGUAUGUAGAAAAAGAUAUAUUGUGUGUUCUGCUGUUGUAUUGAGUUGCUAUCUAUUGCUAAUUGUAUGA